CCUACGGGUGGCAGCAACUGGGAAUUUUGCACAAUGGACGAAAGUCUGAUGCAGUGACACUGCGUGUAGGAUGAAGGCCCUCGGGUCGUAAACUACUGUGAUAGGGGAAAAAAUUUUGAUGGUACCCUAUUAGAAAGUACUUGCUAACUACGUGCCAGAAGCCUCGGUAAUACGUAGAGUACAAGCAUUAUCCGGAUUUAUUGGGCGUAAAGAGUAUCGUAGGCGGUCUGUUAAGUAGCGGGUUAAAUCCUGGGGCUCAACCCUAGAGAUGCUCGCUAAACUGGCAGACUUGUGGAUGUUUGGGGUUACUAGAAUUCUUGGUGGAGGAGUGAAAUCCGUUGAUAUCAAGAAGAAUACCAAAAGCGAAGGCAGGUAACUAGAACAUUCCAGACGCUGAUGAACGAAAGCUAGGGGAGCGAAAG
rnacentral:rRNA from 1 species